rnacentral:rRNA from 1 species
GACGAACGCUGGCGGCGUGCUUAACACAUGCAAGUCGAACGGAAAGGCCCUGCUUUUGUGGGGUGCUCGAGUGGCGAACGGGUGAGUAACACGUGAGUAACCUGCCCUUGACUUUGGGAUAACUUCAGGAAACUGGGGCUAAUACCGGAUAGGAGCUCCUGCUGCAUGGUGUGGGUUGGUAAGUUUCGGCGGUUGGGGAUUGACUCGCGGCUUAUCAGCUUGUUGGUGGGGUAGUGGCUUACCAAGGCCUUGACGGGUAGCCGGCCUGAGAGGGUGACCGGCCACAUUGGGACUGAGAUACGGCCCAGACUCCUACGGGAGGCAACAGUGGGGAAUAUUGCACAAUGGGCGGAAGCCUGAUGCAGCAACGCCGCGUGCGGGAUGACGGCCUUCGAGUUGUAAACCGCUUUCGCCUGUGACGAAGCGAGAGUGACGGUAAUGGGUAAAGAAGCACCGGCUAACUACGUG